ensembl:snRNA U6 U6 spliceosomal RNA
AAAAGUUUUCAGCCAUUGCUUUUUAAAAUUUGGAACGAUACAGAGAAGAUUAGCAUGGCCCCUGUGCAAGGAUGACAUGCAAAUUCGUGACGUGUUCCAUAUUAAA